rnacentral:rRNA from 1 species
UGGGGAAUAUUGCACAAUGGGGGGAACCCUGAUGCAGCGAUGCCGCGUGGAGGAAGAAGGUUUUCGGAUUGUAAACUCCUGUCUUAAGGGACGAUAAUGACGGUACCUUAGGAGGAAGCUCCGGCUAACUACGUGCCAGCAGCCGCGGUAAUACGUAGGUGGCAAGCGUUGUCCGGAAUUACUGGGUGUAAAGGGAGCGUAGGCGGGCAGGCAAGUCAGGCGUGAAAGAUAUCGGCUCAACCGGUAGCUGCGCUUGAAACUGCAGGUCUUGAGUGAAGUAGAGGUUGGCGGAAUUCCUAGUGUAGCGGUGAAAUGCGUAGAUAUUAGGAGGAACACCAGUGGCGAAGGCGGCCAACUGGGCUUUUACUGAC